rnacentral:rRNA from 1 species
AGAGUUUGAUCCUGGCUCAGAGCGAACGCUGGCGGCGUACUUAACACAUGCAAGUCGAACGAGGAUCAUCAGUGUAGCAAUACAUUGGUGGUCCUAGUGGCGCACGGGUGAGUAACACGUGGGUAACCUGCCCUUGAGCUCGGGAUACCCCCUCGAAAGGGGGGCUAAUACCGGAUACGUUCCUCGGAUCGACAGGUCUGGGGAGGAAAGGUGGCGCAAGCUGCCGCUCUUGGAGGGGCUCGCGGCCUAUCAGCUAGUUGGCGGGGUAACGGCCCACCAAGGCUAUGACGGGUAGCUGGUCUGAGAGGACGACCAGCCACACGGGGACUGAGACACGGCCCCGACUCCUACGGGAGGCAGCAGUGGGGAAUUUUCCGCAAUGGGCGAAAGCCUGACGGAGUGACGCCGCGUGUGGGACGAAGGCCUUCGGGUCGUAAACCACUGUCAGUGGGAAAGAAGGGUGUCGGUGCUAAUACCAUCGGCAUUUGACGGUACCUGCAGAGGAAGCCCCGGCCAACUCUGUGCCAGCAGCCGCGGUAAGACAGAGGGGGCAAGCGUUGCUCGGAAUUACUGGGCGUAAAGGGCGCGUAGGCGGGAUGGCAAGUCGGUCGUGAAAUCCUUCGGCUCAACCGAAGAACGUCGAUCGAUACUGCUGUUCUUGAGGGUUGCAGAGGAGACUGGAAUUCCCGGUGUAGCGGUGAAAUGUGUAGAGAUCGGGAGGAACACCGGUGGCGAAAGGCGGGUCUCUGGGCAAUUCCUGACGCUGAGGCGCGAAAGCGUGGGGAGCAAACGGGAUUAGAUACCCUAGUAGUCC